AGAGUUUGAUCAUGGCUCAGAUUGAACGCUGGCGGAAUGCUUUACACAUGCAAGUCGGACGAUGACCUUAGCUUGCUAAGGGGAUAAGGUGGCGAACCGGGUGGAGUAAUAUAUCGGAACGUGCCUUGUAAUGGGGGAUAACUAGUCGAAAGAUUAGCUUAUACCGCAUACGCCCUGAGGGGGAAAGUAGGGGAUCUUCGGACCUUACGUUAUAAGAGCGGCCGAUAUCUGAUUAGCUAGUUGGUGGGGUAAUGGCCUACCAAGGCGACGAUCAGUAGCUGGUCUGAGAGGACGACCAGCCACACUGGAACUGAGACACGGUCCAGACUCCUACGGGAGGCAGCAGUGGGGAAUUUUGGACAAUGGGCGAAAGCCUGAUCCAGCCAUUCCGCGUGAGUGAAGAAGGCCUUCGGGUUGUAAAGCUCUUUCGCAAGGGAAGAAAACUUACAUUCUAAUAAAGUGUGAGGCUGACGGUACCUUGAUAAGAAGCACCGGCUAACUACGUGCCAGCAGCCGCGGUAAUACGUAGGGUGCGAGCGUUAAUCGGAAUUACUGGGCGUAAAGCGUGCGCAGGCGGUUUGGCAAGUCAGAUGUGAAAUCCCCGAGCUCAACUUGGGAACUGCGUUUGAAACUGCCAGACUAGAAUAUGUCAGAGGGGGGUAGAAUUCCACGUGUAGCAGUGAAAUGCGUAGAGAUGUGGAGGAAUACCAAUGGCGAAGGCAGCCCCCUGGGAUAAUAUUGACGCUCAUGCACGAAAGCGUGGGGAGCAAACAGGAUUAGAUACCCUGGUAGUCCACGCCCUAAACGAUGUCUACUAGUUGUUGGUGGAGUAAAAUCCAUGAGUAACGCAGCUAACGCGUGAAGUAGACCGCCUGGGGAGUACGGUCGCAAGAUUAAAACUCAAAUGAAUUGACGG
rnacentral:rRNA from 1 species